CGCUAGCGUAACCUGUCCUCCCAGUUUCUCUGAAGUGCUGAACCGGCAGUGACCUGGCCUCACCUUCUGCCAUGGCAGGGACGGGGGACUGGAGGCCUGAUGGCCGUCUCUGUCACCCUGAUGUUGGGCACCAAAGUUGGAUGCAUGAAACCAGGCAGCAUGACAAACAUCCCCAAGGAAGACAGGUGCUUUGCAUCAAGAACAACGCUAUGACACCAGGCUCUCCUGAAAGGGACAUGGGACUGGAGUUAUGCUCUUCAGGCGAUCUGAGAAGCGACUGUGCUUUGAGCUCUCUCUGUGCCCAGGGGAGGUAAGGCUGGCUGGCUGGCUGGCUGAGAAGUGUGCAGGGGUGCCCGCACCUCCUGGUAACCACAGGUGGGAUUUUUUGCUUUCUGAGAGCAAAAAUACACAUAAAGUUAUGACCUAGUAGGAAGUCAAGUGAAAAUAGAACCAGCCAUAAACAAGAAAAUCAGUUCUGGGAAGAAAGUGUGGUGAAGGUCAAAGCAGAAGGACGUUAAAUAAAUUCAUAAUGCACAUAUUCA
rnacentral:lncRNA from 1 species